rnacentral:rRNA from 1 species
CCUACGGGCGGCAGCAGUGGGGAAUAUUGGACAAUGGGCGAAAGCCUGAUCCAGCCAUGCCGCGUGUGUGAAGAAGGCCUUCGGGUUGUAAAGCACUUUCAGUGGGGAAGAAAGCCUUGGGGCUAAUACCCUCGAGGAAGGACAUCACCCACAGAAGAAGCACCGGCUAACUCCGUGCCAGCAGCCGCGGUAAUACGGAGGGUGCGAGCGUUAAUCGGAAUUACUGGGCGUAAAGCGCGCGUAGGCGGUCUGAUAAGCCGGUUGUGAAAGCCCCGGGCUCAACCUGGGAACGGCAUCCGGAACUGUCAGGCUAGAGUGCAGGAGAGGAAGGUAGAAUUCCCGGUGUAGCGGUGAAAUGCGUAGAGAUCAGGAGGAAUACCAGUGGCGAAGGCGGCCUUCUGGACUGACACUGACGCUGAGGUGCGAAAGCGUGGGUAGCAAACAGGAUUAGAUACCCCUGUAGUC